AUUGAACGCUGGCGGCAGGCCUAACACAUGCAAGUCGAGCGGGGUUUUCGGACCUAGCGGCGGACGGGUGAGUAAUGCGUAGGAAGCUACCCGAUAGAGGGGGAUACCAGUUGGAAACGACUGUUAAUACCGCAUAAUGUCUACGGACCAAAGUGUGGGACCUUCGGGCCACAUGCUAUCGGAUGCGCCUACGUUGGAUUAGCUAGUUGGUGGGGUAAUGGCUCACCAAGGCGACGAUCCCUAGCUGGUUUGAGAGGAUGAUCAGCCACACUGGAACUGAGACACAGUCCAGCCUCCUACGAGGGGCAGCAGUGGGGAAUAUUGGAAAAUGGGCGCAAGCCUGAUCCAGCCAUGCCGCGUGUGUGAAGAAGGCCUUCGGGUUGUAAAGCACUUUCAGUAGGGAGGAAGGGUUAAGUGUUAAUAGUACUUAACUUUGACGUUACCUACAGAAGAAGCACCGGCUAACUCUGUGCCAGCCGCCGCAGUAA
rnacentral:rRNA from 1 species